rnacentral:pre_miRNA from 1 species
AGAGUAAUGAUCCUGUGAGAUCCUUCCACACCCAUGUGUGUAGGAUUCCAAAUGAUCACCAUUAAAUUUGGUACAAAUUUUCAUAAAAGUUAUCACAUGGGUGUGGGACUUGACUUUUUUUAGAGAUUUGUGUCAAAUUUAAUGGAUAUCUUUUGGGAUCUUACACACAUGGGUGUGGGAGGGUUUCAUAGGAUCAUUACUCU